rnacentral:misc_RNA from 1 species
AUAGAUCAAAUAUCAAUUGGAACCUAAGAACAUAUAAGAACAUGCAUCAAUAUACAAUUCUUAGAUUCUGGCAGAUUGACAGUAAUAAGAAAUUCAAUUUUUGAAAAACAGUUAGAUAUGCCUAAAAAUCAUAAAAAAAAUGCUAGAAGACAGCCCAAACGUUAUACAAGUCAUAAAAUUUAUAGACUAAACAAAACACUAGCCGAAUGGUCUACACAAAUCGUAAUUUUUCUCAGUGACAGAAUCGCACUACUUUUUUCGUAAAAUUCAUAAUUCACCGACCACAACAGAUAUGAAGCGAAAUCAAUUGAAAAAGAUUCACAAGAUUUUGAAUUUAAUU